AGAUCCGACUGCUAUCCGGAUGGGACUAAGCCAUGCGAGUUGAAUGGGAAGUCUUACUUUCCAUAGCGCACUGCUCAGUAACAAGUUAUCAACUUACCCUUUAGAGGGGCAUAACCUCGGGAAACUGAGGAUAAUUCCCCAUAGUUGGAUGAGCCUGGAAUGGUUCUCCAUCGAAAUGUCGUGUCGAAAUAGAGAUACGUUCGCUAAAGGAUAGGAUUGCUCCCGAUUAUGGUUGUUGGUGGGGUAAUGGCCCACCAAGCCUAUGAUCGGUAAGGGCCGUGAGAGCGGGAGCCCUGAGAUGGGUACUGAGACAAGGACCCAGGCCUUACGAGGCGCAGCAGGCGCGAAACCUUUACAAUGCGCGAAAGCGUGAUAAGGUUAUCCGGAGUGCUGAGAGCAC
rnacentral:rRNA from 1 species